CCCUGCAUACUUGAUCAUCACCUGAGCCACCAGAAGCCACCACAGCUGGAUCAUUGUUCAAGAAGAGCAGCCUGGGCCCCUUCUACUCAAGUUGCAGACUGGUCUCCCUCAGGCCUGAGAAGGAUGGGGCAGCCACCUGUGUGGACGCUGUCUGCACCCACCACCCU